UUACGGCCAUAUCACGUUGAAACACAGGUUCUCGUACGAUCACCGAAGUUGCGCAACUUCCAGCUUGGUCAGUACCUAGAUGGGUGACCGCAAAUGAAUACCAGGUGCUGUAAG